AUACUUACAUUGCAGUGGAAGCACCAUGAUCAGGAAGGUGGUUUUGCCAAAGUGAGUCUCAUUUGGAAUGUUUUUACUCUCUGCUGUUUUCUCACAUGUGGGAAACUUGACAGCAUAAUUUGUGAUUUUGAAGGCUGCGUUCGGCUUUAA
rnacentral:snRNA from 1 species